rnacentral:rRNA from 1 species
CCUACGGGAGGCAGCAGUGGGGAACAUUGGACAAUGGGGGCAACCCUGAUCCAGCCAUGCCGCGUGUGUGAAGAAGGCCCUCGGGUUGUAAAGCACUUUCAGUGAGGAAGAACGCCUGGUGGUUAAUACCCAUCAGGAAAGACAUCACUCACAGAAGAAGCACCGGCUAACUCCGUGCCAGCAGCCGCGGUAAUACGGAGGGUGCGAGCGUUAAUCGGAAUUACUGGGCGUAAAGCGCGCGUAGGUGGCUUGAUAAGCCGGUUGUGAAAGCCCCGGGCUCAACCUGGGAACGGCAUCCGGAACUGUCAAGCUAGAGUGCAGGAGAGGAAGGUAGAAUUCCCGGUGUAGCGGUGAAAUGCGUAGAGAUCGGGAGGAAUACCAGUGGCGAAGGCGGCCUUCUGGACUGACACUGACACUGAGGUGCGAAAGCGUGGGUAGCAAACAGGAUUAGAUACCCCUGUAGUC